CUACGGGGCGCUGCAGUGGGGAAUAUUGGACAAUGGGCGCAAGCCUGAUCCAGCAAUACCGCGUGUGUGAAGAAGGCCUGCGGGUUGUAAAGCACUUUCAAUUGUGAAGAAAAGCGAGGGCUUAAUACGCUCUUGUCUUGACGUUAACUUUAGAAGAAGCACCGGCUAACUCUGUGCCAGCAGCCGCGGUAAUACAGAGGGUGCGAGCGUUAAUCGGAAUUACUGGGCGUAAAGCGUACGUAGGCGGUUUAGUAAGUCAGAUGUGAAUGCCCUGGGCUCAACCUGGGAACUGCAUUUGAAACGGCUAGGCUAGAGUGCGGUAGAGGGAAGUGGAAUUCCGGGUGUAGCGGUGAAAUGCGUAGAUAUCCGGAGGAACACCAGUGGCGAAGGCGACUUCCUGGACCAACACUGACGCUGAGGUACGAAAGCGUGGGUAGCAAACAGGAUUAGAUACCCUUGUAGUC
rnacentral:rRNA from 1 species